rnacentral:rRNA from 1 species
GACGAACGCUGGCGGCGUGCCUAAUACAUGCAAGUUGAGCGCUGAAGGUUGGUACUUGUACCGACUGGAUGAGCAGCGAACGGGUGAGUAACGCGUGGGGAAUCUGCCUUUGAGCGGGGGACAACAUUUGGAAACGAAUGCUAAUACCGCAUAAAAACUUUAAACACAAGUUUUAAGUUUGAAAGAUGCAAUUGCAUCACUCAAAGAUGAUCCCGCGUUGUAUUAGCUAGUUGGUGAGGUAAAGGCUCACCAAGGCGAUGAUACAUAGCCGACCUGAGAGGGUGAUCGGCCACAUUGGGACUGAGACACGGCCCAAACGCCUACGAGAGGCAGCAGCAGGGAAUCUUCGGCAAUGGACGAAAGUCUGACCGAGCAACGCCGCGUGAGUGAAGAAGGUUUUCGGAUCGUAAAACUCUGUUGGUAGAGAAGAACGUUGGUGAGAGUGGAAAGCUCAUCAAGUGACGGUAACUACCCAGAAAGGGACGGCUAACUACGUG